ensembl:lncRNA
AACGUUCUCACACGAGAACCUGUGGGUCGGGUGGUCCAGGCAGCCCUGAGGUUAGUGGGGCACAUUGCUGCCCAGAUGACCUGAGCGCUUGCUAGAUUGAAGGGAUGUUUCCUAUCCCUUCGCUGCUUAACUGGCUUAGAAAGUGAGUGAAUGAGGAGAGAACACGGUUACAUGGAAGCUGUUAUGGACAUGAAAGCCAAACCCACCUUAAAGUUGUCACCGCGACCCCAAGUUGUAGGUGGACGCCAGAAGCGAAUUUAGACUCAGACCUGGGCAAAUUAGUGGAUGUGAUAUUCCAGGCUUAAGUAAACUCAGGUGGUUAAAACCAAGACAGCAUCCCUAGCCCAGGCUUGGUCCAUGAAUCUGGCCAUUCAUUUGUGGCCCACCACUGCCCUCUGGUGGCACUCUAAAAAAUGCAGCUUAGUUUUAAAGAUGGGGUUAGCGUGUCUGACUUAACCUGUUUGUUUGUUUGUUUGUUUGUUUGUUUGUUUAAGCACGUACCCUCGGUAUUUGGGUCUCAGGACCAGUUUAACUCACCUGCAUGAACCCAGUCAUGCUGUGAUGAGAAUAAAAUGAGCAGAAGACAGCGUAUCCCAUGCCUCUCUCUGGCCCUGCCGUUGUCAGACAAUCCAGCUACCUCUUGGGAACUGCCGUUUCUAUCAGACACUAUUGCUAUUGCGUGGGGCCUUUUAUCUGAGCUGUAGCAUUGAUCCUCUAAGAUGGGUGCGGUAAUUAGCCGUGCUACAGAUGAAGAAGUAGAGGCUCACAGAAGACGUCUGGCUCUUCACAUAUGAAUAUGAAUUCAGCCCCUGGUGACAACAACCUGUAAAGAUGUAAUUCCGUAUCCAGUCUCGCCCCGAGCAGAAUGCACAGGGAGAUAUGACUUUAAAGUAGUGUUCAAGCACACACAUACUUUCUGCAUGUUUUUUGGAAUCUGAGACUAAAUUCUAGAUGGGCUCUUAGCCUGUCACGCAGGGAUGGAGACUCCGGGAUGGAGGGAGCAGGACAGAGGCGUGGAAACCCUCUCACCCUGAGAAGACACCGUUUCUGGGGAUGAUGCGGCUGUCCAAUGGGUGUUGGAGAGCCAGAAGGCAGAUUCAAAGCGUUUGCGUCACCCCGCCCUCUCUACCUGCAAUUGAAAGCAGCCUCCGCUUUGGCCUGUAGAUGGCAGCCUAGGCUCAAUUGAACCCAAGCCUGGUUUGGUUUGGUUUGGUUUUGGGGUGCCCCAAUUCCCACCAGCUGAGAAUCACUUUCAGGGGGAGGCUUGGGGGUGUUAUAAACUGCUGGUGCAUGGGACUGGGCCUCGGAGACUCUGAUAGUGAUGAUCUCGUGGGUGACCGGGGCAAUUUGCUGUUGUUGGGUAUUUGCUUCCUUGCUCGCUCGCUUGCUUGGAGACAGAUGUUUGCUAUGUUGCUUCUGCUGGCAUCUAAAUCCUGGAAUCAAGUAAUCCUCCUGCCUCAGCCUCCCAGGUAGCUGGGAGUAAGAAUGCAUUUAUCCCACAGUGCCUGACCAUAAACGUCGUGUUUUACAAAGCUCCACAGCCGGCUCUCCACCAAGGUUAGGAGUGACGGUUUGCACGCUGGGCGCCGUGGUUCCUGUGGGUUUGGUGGGCUGCUCAUUUGACGUCCUUUCCUUGCUGUACCUUGUGGAGCCUGGGCCCACAGAAAGAGAGGAGGACAAUGAGAAGGGGCGUCAUGUGGAGGAAUGAAGAAUACAGUCCAGACGGGAGAGAAAAUAAAGGAGGUUCUUCUCAGGCUGAGAGGAAGGAGCCUAAAGGGAGCCUGCUCGGCGAUUAAAACCCGUUUCCUUCCUUACAGAAAAGAACUACGCCAUGUAGAAGACUAAGGAUUGUUCUAGAAAGCUAGAAAACCUGCCCCUUCUACUGACCAGAGCUUUAACAUGAAUCCUGGUAGGGGUGCUGUGGACUUCAGGGCUUUGGGGGGGGAGGACCUGGCCAGGCAGGGAAGUGGCAAGGAGUGGUAAGGGGUGUGGACAGCAGAAGUGGCUUCACAGAGAAAGUGGCGUCUUCCCAUGUGGACAUAUAUCCUGAGAGGCAUUAGCUGCUACAAAUGGUCCUCUCUUCCCAAUAGCUUCAUGCACAAGAAUGGAGGCUGGCUAGUCCAGCGCCUUCACAAAGAGGAACAGCAAGGGACCUGUUGCCAUAGCAACUCAUCAGGCACAGUCACACCACCAUGUCCCAAUUCUCAUCUUUGGGCAAAGCCUCAUCAUUGAGCAUCCCCCCCCCAAAAAAAAAUCAUACUGAAUACGCAAAACUCCACGAUGAACAAAAUUUUAAAUUGAGACACGAUCCCCAUCUCCAGCUUUCCCUUUUACCUCAACUUGAAUAGCCAACAGCAUCGCUGUGGCACUUUCUAAUGAAUGCAGGCUGCGGUGGUGGGGAGCCCUUGCUGUCCACCCACAUCUUUCCGGAGCCACUUACAGCACCUGUGGAAUGUGAGUUAUCACAGAUCUGUGGGAACUGUGCUCCUAGCGGAGCAGUGGUGCCACCUAGUGGGAGAGUCUGGUACCGAGCACUCAAGGAUAACGCCAAGCACAGCAUGACGUCCUGGAGCCUCGGCUUCAGCGCAGGUCUCUGGUAAGGGAGGCCAUGCUUAGGAACUUACACCGUGGUCGUUGAGAUGGAGCAGAUGGGAGACUGUGUGGACAGACGGGUCAGGAGGUAAGGGAGUAGGUAGGCGGGGUGUCCCCAAGGUAGAAAAGUCUCGUGACACAGCCACACACAGAUAGGGUGACCCUGAGACAGACUCUUAGCCCCUACUUUCCCAUCAGUGGAAGUGAGAGAGACCGAGACAAUAGAGAAUGUAUCUCUAACCUCUAUUAUCUUCACUUCACCUACUUGGGACAAAUAUGAGAAAAUCAAGUCCCCAGAGUCUUUGAAAACACAGGGUAUCGGGGGUAGGCACUGGAAAUACAAAGAUAGGUAAGAUAGAAAGUUCGAUCGAAGUUGACCUGGGUACUGAAGUGGCUGAGGGGGGAGCAGGGAAAAGUCAAGGCCUGGUAAGCUACAGAGUGGGUUCAAAGCCAGCCUGAGCAACUCAGUGAGACCUUGUCACAAAAUAAAAAUAAAAAGUAAAUCAUAGGCUGGGGAUACAGCUUAGUUGUGAAGUCUCUGUGUAGCUUGUGUGAGGUCCAGAUUUGACCUCCAUGAUUGAAGACAGGGGCUGCUUCCAGAAACAUGUCAGAAUGUGCACUGGUGGCUGAGCUGGUGUGAAAAGACAGCCUAGCGGUGCGAGAAUUUCAGCAAACGGAAAGUGACCGUGUUUGCGGGGAAUCAAGUGAGGGUACUUUUCUUCUGUCACAGGUGGGAUGCAGCGUGAUCGUAACAGAGGCCAUGCGUGUUUGGGUAGAACUGUGGAGGGUCACACAGGUUUCACGCCGGCCUCUGAGGAGAUCUCCGUUGUGCUACACAGACUCAGCUGUGAGCUUGGACACUGUAUAUCGUUCCCAUUUUACUGUGGCUCACUUUACUCGAGUGGGAAAAGAAGAUGCGUUCCAGAGAAAUCAUACUUGGACUUGGAGAUUUUGAUCCUUUCCUGGGCUGGCCACACGGAUCUUUGAUGCCUUUUCAUCUAGGGUAGCAGCAGCAAGCUGUUCCCAGGGAGCCCCAUGGCCAUGAAGUAACUGGUCCUACUGUGUUCCCAGGGAGCCCCAUGGCCAUGAAGUGACUGGUCCUAUUGUGUUCCCAGGGAGCCCCAUGCCAUGAAGUGACUGGUCCUACUGUGUUUCCAGGGAGUCCCAUGGCCAUGAAGUGACUGGUCCUACUGUGUUCCGGGCAAAUGAGCCAAGAUGCUUGCCAGACUGGGAUGUCAAGCACACCCUCGACUGCUGCUGGCUUUUCAUUUAUGACGGCUAUGGCCCAGGUGCUCUUGAACCAAACAGCUAGUAAAGUCACGUGCAUCUCAGAGCAUGGGGUUUUUGUGUUGGGUAUUCUUUUAGUUAUUCUUUGGCAUUUUGCGUGUGUUUACGACGUGUCGUGAUUAUAUUUACCAGACCUGAAGCAGGAGGAUGGAAAAGGCAAGGCCUGGUAAGCAAGUCAGCCUGAGCAACUCAGUAAGAAGUUGUAAAACAGCAUUGAAACCGGAGGGCUGGGGAUGUCGCCUGUCUCCUUCCCACCUCCUGUCCUUCCCUUGUCUUUCUUCCUUUCCUGUGUGUUACCCGUUGAGUCCAGG